UACGGAGGGGCUAGCGUUGUCCGAAGUUACUGGGCGUAAAGCGCGCGUAGGCGGGUUGGUAAGUCCGCUGUGAAAGCCCGGAGCUCAACUCCGGAGGUCGGUGGAUACUGCCAGUCUUGAAGGUGCUAGGGGGAGAUGGAAUUACCGGUGUAGCGGUGAAAUGCGUAGAUAUCGGUAGGAACACCAGUGGCGAAGGCGGUCUCCUGGGGCAUUCUUGACGCUGAGGCGCGAAAGCUGGGGGGGAGCGAACGGG
rnacentral:rRNA from 1 species